GGAGGAGCUGCACAGGACGUUCAACAGCACGCUCAGUUCACGGAUUACUAUCAUGCCACGAGGUAAUGGCAGAAAUUCAGGAAGAAAAAAUAAAGCGGCGAAGCUCCCUCCUGCUGCCGACGGAGGCCUAAAGACCACCACUGCACCUCCAGCUGACAGCACU